rnacentral:tRNA from 1 species
CUGGAAAUAAGCACUCAAGCUCAAGCGCUCACACUUAUCGGCUGUUGUUGACGACAGACUGCCCAACCGUGGGUCUGUAGCUCAGUUGGUUAGAGCACCGUCUUGAUAAGGCGGGGGUCGUUGGUUCGAAUCCAACCAGACCCACCAUCGAAAUUUUGGGGGUGUAGCUCAGCUGGGAGAGCACCUGCUUUGCAAGCAGGGGGUCAUCGGUUCGAUCCCGUUCACCUCCACCAAAGAAGUUGUGCGUUUGUGUACGAAUCACGUACGAACUGGCCAGAGCAUAAAGUGCUCUGGCCAGUUUGAUCGUUAGAUCGGCUGUCGUUCUUUAACAAUUCAUAGAGUCGAAAUCAGCGUUGCUGAUGGAAAGCAUCUUCGGAUGCGCCGUGCCAUCAGCGACAUUUUGAUUGCAUAUACAAACUUCAAUUUCAGAGAUUGAAGUUCGGCAUAACGCGUAAUACUCAAACCAGUCAUUGACCGACCCGGUGUCAGCCGGCGUCAAAGUUAUAG